GGCGGCCGUACUUUCGGCGGGCGGAGCGCCACGACCGGUUCGUCGGCGGCGAGAAACUCCCGGGCAAGGUGACCUUCGUCUCGGCGCAGGAGCAUACAGGCCCGGUGAGCGUCGGCCCGUCGGUGGACCGAGGAAGACCGUCGCGGAGCGGCGUCGACCGUUCGUCGUGUGUUGGCGUUCGACUCGGGGGGACUGGUUCCAGUGCCCUCGGACCGCGCCGGCGCAGCGGCGGGCGCGCACGGCGUCGCGCCUGGGGUCGGUGGCGAAACGGCCGGCAACCUGUCCGACCCGUCUUGAAACACGGACCAAGGAGUCUAACAUGUGCGCGAGUCGUUGGGCGCUACGAAACCCGAAGGCCCAAUGAAAGUGAAGGCCCGGUCUCCGGCCGGCCUGGGUGGGAUCCCGGCGGUCUCGGCCGUCGGGCGCACCACCGGCCCGUCUCGUUCGUUACGUCGAGGAGGCGGAGCAAGAGCGUACACGUUGGGACCCGAAAGAUGGUGAACUAUGCCCGAGUAGGACGAAGCCAGAGGAAACUCUGGUGGAGGUCCGCAGCGAUUCUGACGUGCAAAUCGAUCGUCAAACUUGGGUAUAGGGGCGAAAGACUAAUCGAACCAUCUAGUAGCUGGUUCCUGUCGAAGUUUCCCUCAGGAUAGCUGGCGGUCGUCGUGAGCAGUUUUAUCCGGUAAAGCGAAUGACUGGAGGCCUUGGG
rnacentral:rRNA from 1 species